ACAGUGCUUUGUUAUAUGGAGCAGUUUGUUAGAUCGCAGUCUCUCUCAUUUGUUUGUCUAAUGAAGUGCCAACAGAUAUAGAAGUACACAAUAAACGCGGUAGACUUUAAUGGACAGUAAAACAAAGGCAGAAUACCGUGUAACUCCAGGCUGGCACAGUACUGACGAACGAAUGCAAACAUAUGCAGAGCACCGUAACUUAUCUGAGCUUUCCAAAACAAAGUCAAAGCGCGGUAACUGAUGUUAUACUGUGUUCUGCCUUGGUUUCUCCGGGGCUUUUCUCCAUGAUAAUUAAACACAUGAUAAAGGAGGUCAUUAAUGUCCCAAAAUGAUCAAUAACUCAUUUUCGACUAAAAACGAAGUUAUGGUGUUCUGUCUUUGCACGGCAGCACUGCUGUCACUGUUGAGGGGCGUGGUUUCAGCUCAGCUUCAACCACGUCCCGCCUUUUUGCCCAUUUUCGAUUAUCCGGGAGUGACGCGCGGUGACGCGCUUCCAAGAUGGCGGCGGUCGGCUCCGCCCACUUUAGGCUUCAAAAACGCUUUACAGAAACCUACGGGUGACGUCACGGACACUACGUCCAUUUUUUUUACAGUCUAUGGUUACAACACCUAAAGCAAUGCCCCCCUCCAGAUUCUUCUUGUGCCCCUCGAUCAUCCACUGGAUACUUUAAAAAAAAAAAUAAAUAAACAUUAAAUUAGUUACAUAUUAAAAUGACCAGAGAUAUAGCGCAGCUGUAUUUUUCUUGUUCUACAGCUCCCCCGCACUGACAGAAUUUCAUGUGAAAUGUUCAAAGCCUAUGGACAGGUUAUUGCUGACAGGAUACGACAUUCGGUAAGGGAAUAUCAUGAUAUUAUCUGUCAGAAACGUUAUCAACACUGUCAAAAACAGUAUUUAACACUACACAGAUCUGUACAACAGGUUACAUAAUGAAAUGAAAUACGCCAACAGUAGCGCCAUGAAGUCUAUGCUAUGUCAUUCAGUAUAGUAGUUAAAUGUUCACAAAUCAUGUUAUAAACAUUCAUAAGAGCACUAGACAAAGGUAUCAGCUAUAUAGCAAUGGUUAUUAAUAAAAACUAUAACAGUAAUACAUCGUUGCAUGAAUAAUAAACAACUGAUAAAAUUAUCCACCCCAAACUAUAGUACAGUAGGCCUAUUAACAAAUUUUGAUGCAAUGAUUUAAAAACGAUCAUCCCUCCAAAACAGAGAAAACUUCUUCCACAAACAUCUACGUGUCUGUGUCUUUUAAAGUAUUUAUAGUGUAUAUAAUGAGUUGUAUUUGUUUGUCAUUAUAACAUUUUCGAAAUGCCCCCCAGUCACGCAAUCCUAGAACCGGGGUUUAUGUGUAGGCUACUUGUAAUGUGUAUGUCACGGGGUGACCAAGGCCGGAACCUUCUUUGCACGGGAGUUGUUGCUAUGGGGGGGGGGGGCAUUUCCGGUGCAACACCAGGUCGGUUCCGGUCUCACGAACAGGGCGGAAGUACAGCGAGACUGAUCGAGCGAAAUCACCGGCACCUGUGAGGGGAAAAUUCCAAACGGCGAAUAGGGCUCGAGGAGCAUAAAAGAGGCUGUCGUUGGAGAGAGGAAGAAAAAGGAGGAAGAAACAGCGGGUGACACAGUAAAGACGCAAGAGAAGGACGGAGGGAACAAGGUUCUUUCAGCUACGUAGCUAACUUUCUUUGGCAUGAACAUUAUAUGAAGAACGAUUAUAUCUCCAUACUCCCAGCGCAUGAAGAGUCCCUUUAUCAAGGUGUCCAUCUGAGCCUGAACACUGCCUUAUUCGUUGCAAGGUUUGGAGUGUUUUGCAGUGUUGAAUUGAUAUUUUCACGUGUGGAGUUGAGUGUUUUGCAGCGUAUGCACGAGUGUGGGCUCCCGCAGAUCGUUCAGGCGACCGAGUGGAUAAACAUCCUUGAUGUAGUUGAGCUGGCUCAUGAAACUCAAUCUUGGAGUACGAAAUACAGGAGUGAAUGCUGACAUCCUCGUCCGUCCUCCGUUUGUGCUGAAGCCCAUCAGAGCUGUUGAAUUGAGUUCACCUCCCGCUGUCAUCCAGUCCUCCCAUCAGAGCUGUGGAAUUGAGUUCACCUCCCGCUGUCAUCCAGUUCUGUGGAUGAAUACAGAGCCAAUGUGUGUUGGAGAGAUACAGGAAGAGACUGCUUGAUUUUAAAAAGAGAUAUCCUUUUAAUAAAUAAAAGUUCAAAUCGUA